AGUGAACGCUGGCGGUAGGCCUAACACAUGCAAGUCGAACGGCAGCACAGUAAGAGCUUGCUCUUACGGGUGGCGAGUGGCGGACGGGUGAGGAAUACAUCGGAAUCUACUUUUUCGUGGGGGAUAACGUAGGGAAACUUACGCUAAUACCGCAUACGACCUACGGGUGAAAGCAGCGGAUCUUCGGACCUUGCGCGAUUGAAUGAGCCGAUGUCGGAUUAGCUAGUUGGCGGGGUAAAGGCCCACCAAGGCGACGAUCCGUAGCUGGUCUGAGAGGAUGAUCAGCCACACUGGAACUGAGACACGGUCCAGACUCCUACGGGAGGCAGCAGUGGGGAAUAUUGGACAAUGGGCGCAAGCCUGAUCCAGCCAUACCGCGUGGGUGAAGAAGGCCUUCGGGUUGUAAAGCCCUUUUGUUGGGAAAGAAAAGCAGCAGGUUAAUACCCCGCUGUUCUGACGGUACCCAAAGAAUAAGCACCGGCUAACUUCGUGC
rnacentral:rRNA from 1 species